ACGCCGUAAAACACCCAACUUCCGAAAGGUUGACCUCGGAUCAGGUAGGAAUACCCGCUGAACUUAAGCAUAUCAAUAAGCGGAGGAAAAGAAACCAACAGGGAUUGCCCCAGUAACGGCGAGUGAAGCGGCAACAGCUCAAAUUUGAAAUCUGGUCCCCAGGGCCCGAGUUGUAAUUUGCAGAGGAUGCUUUUGGCGAGGCACCGCCCGAGUUCCCUGGAACGGGACGCCACAGAGGGUGAGAGCCCCGUCUGGCUGGAUGCCGAGCCUCUGUAAAGCUCCUUCGACGAGUCGAGUAGUUUGGGAAUGCUGCUCUAAAUGGGAGGUAUAUGUCUUCUAAAGCUAAAUAUUGGCCAGAGACCGAUAGCGCACAAGUAGAGUGAUCGAAAGAUGAAAAGCACUUUGAAAAGAGGGUUAAACAGUACGUGAAAUUGUUGAAAGGGAAGCGCUCAUGACCAGACUUGGGCUUGGCGAAUCAUCCGGCGUUCUCGCCGGUGCACUUCGCCUCGCCCAGGCCAGCAUCAGUUCGCCUCGGGGGACAAAGGCUCUGGGAACGUGGCUCCUCCGGGAGUGUUAUAGCCCACUGCGCAAUACCCUGCGGCGGACUGAGGUUCGCGCAUCUGCAAGGAUGCUGGCGUAAUGGUCAUCAGCGACCCGUCUUGAAACACGGACCAAGGAGUCGUCUUCGUAUGCGAGUGUUCGGGUGUAAAACCCCUACGCGUAAUGAAAGUGAACGCAGGUGAGAGCUUCGGCGCAUCAUCGACCGAUCCUGAUGUUCUCGGAUGGAUUUGAGUAAGAGCAUACGGGGCCGGACCCGAAAGAAGGUGAACUAUGCCUGUAUAGGGUGAAGCCAGAGGAAACUCUGGUGGAGGCUCGCAGCGGUUCUGACGUGCAAAUCGAUCGUCAAAUAUGGGCAUGGGGGCGAAAGACUAAUCGAACCUUCUAGUAGCUGGUUUCCGCCGA
rnacentral:rRNA from 1 species